ACGCUGGCGGCACGCCUAAUACAUGCAAGUCGAACGAAGUAGCAAUACUUAGUGGCAGACGGGUGAGUAACAUGUAGGUAUCUGCCCUUUGGCCUGGAAUAACACGAGGAAACUUGUGCUAAUACCGGAUAAGUCUUUACGGAGAAAGCUUUAUGCACCAUUGGAUGAGCCUGCACUUGAUUAGUUUGUUGGUGGGGUAAUGGCCUACCAAGACGAUGAUCAAUAGCUGAUUUGAGAGGAUGAUCAGCCACAUUGGGACUGAGACACGGCCCAAACUCCUACGGGAGGCAGCAGUAGGGAAUCUUGCACAAUGGAGGAAACUCUGAUGCAGCGAUGCCGCGUGAGUGAAGAAGGCCUUUGGGUUGUAAAGCUCUUUCGUCGGGGAAGAAAAUGACUGUACCCGAAUAAGAAGGUCCGGCUAACUUCGUGCCAGCAGCCGCGGUAAUACGAAGGGACCUAGCGUAGUUCGGAAUUACUGGGCUUAAAGAGUUCGUAGGUGGUUAAAAAAGUUGGUGGUGAAAUCCCAGAGCUUAACUCUGGAACUGCCAUCAAAACUUUUUAGCUAGAGUAUGAUAGAGGAAAGCAGAAUUUCUAGUGUAGAGGUGAAAUUCGUAGAUAUUAGAAAGAAUACCGAUUGCGAAGGCAGCUUUCUGGAUCAUUACUGACACUGAGGAACGAAAGCAUGGGUAGCGAAGAGGAUUAGAUACCCUCGUAGUCCAUGCCGUAAACGAUGUGUGUUAGACGUUGGAAAUUUAUUUUCAGUGUCGCAGCGAAAGCGAUAAACAC
rnacentral:rRNA from 1 species